rnacentral:misc_RNA from 1 species
GUGAAUCAUCGAAUUUUUGAACGCAAAUUGCACUCUCCUCGGAGAGUAUGCCUGUUUGAGGGCCAGCCUAUAAACAAUCGACAUCGUUGCCGUUUCUCGGUGACGUUCGUCGGAAAUUGGCCCAUCUUAAAUCUUUUUGGUUUUAUGUGACUUAAAAAUUUCUUUUUUGUCCCAUGUGCGUUUCUACGAUUUAUUUCUUUACAAGUUCACGGUAUCGAUUUUUAUUAGUCGUGACCAUCAUGAAGGACCGCGUACAUAAUCCUUAAUCAUCUGACUUCAGCC